ensembl:lncRNA
CAGGAUCUCACUGUGCUAAGCAGUAGGGAAAGGCGCAUCCUCAAACCUCGUGAUCGCAUGGCUACUCCUCGUGGAAACCACAGAUCCAAGUCGGGGUGGAUGCUUUGUGCCUGCUCUGUCCCUUCCUUGGCACAAGUUUCAGCCUGGUGGACUCUGCAAUUUCUUCCUAGCCUGUCUGCUCUGGAUGCUGGAUCCCAAGCAUCUGUGCCUGGUGCAGGGUUGAGGCGCCAUCUGGUGGCAAGUCUAAGAACUGCAGCCUACUCCUGCUCUGCCUGCCAUUAGCAUCGGACCAGAGGACAUUUAACACUAGCAACAGCUCCUGCUCAAGGCAGAGCCGGCUACGCUGCGGACCCAGGGCUCUCCUCUCCUACUAGACUCCCUCACCUCUCAGGACACUGUGGAGCUCAAGACCAUACAAGGACCAUGGAGAAAGGGGAGGCGUCUUCGGGGCUGUCUGAGAGAAACCAGCCUUCCAGAUAGGGCACCACCCAAGCAAAGGAAUGGCAAGACCACACCACUGCAUGGUCAACGGGAGACGGCGCAGAACGUGCAAGGUACAGAGCCCAGUACUGCAGAAUGACAAUAAAUGCCUGCAUUGACGGCUAACACGUUUACGAUAGGAC